rnacentral:rRNA from 1 species
UGCCAGACUCCUACGGGAGGCAGCAGUCGGGAAUAUUGCACAAUGGAGGAAACUCUGAUGCAGUGACACCGCGUAUAGGAAGAAGGUUUUCGGGUUGUAAACUAUUUUCGACAGGGAAGAAAAAAGACAGUACCUGUAGAAUAAGCUCCGGCUAACUACGUGCCAGCAGCCGCGGUAAUACGUAGGGGGCAAGCGUUAUCCGGAUUUACUGGGUGUAAAGGGGGCGCAGACGGCGAUGCAAGCCAGGAGUGAAAGCCCGGGGCCCAACCCCGGGACUGCUCUUGGAACUGCGUGGCUGGAGUGCAGGAGGGGCAGGCGGAAUUCCUGGUGUAGCGGUGAAAUGCGUAGAUAUCAGGAGGAACACCGGUGGCGAAGGCGGCCUGCUGGACUGCAACUGACGUUGAGGCCCGAAAGCGUGGGGAGCAAACAGGAUUAGAUACCCGGGUAU